UUCAGUUGUCCAAGGCUUCAUUGCAGAAAACAAAACGCAUUGACAUAUAGACAGUGGUUCGGAUAAAGGAUAAAACCCUCUCCACCUGAUUCCACAUAGAUGAUGUGUCAGUGAAACUGAAAGUGGCAGAUUGAAGAUAUGCAGGUAUAUUGUCGUGGCCUAACGCAGGGCUAGGCAGUUGAUUGCGCUCUCCAGUACGUGUCAUGCGACUACAACUAGUGCUUGGUGCGUAUACCAGAGACGCUAGGCAUAAAUGGGUCGCUCUCAUAGUGAUGAUCGAACCAGUGACCUUCCGGUCGCUAGGCGGACGCCAUUUACAAAAUGGCAACCUCUUUAUUGGCAGAGCUUCGAAGACACUCUCACCGUCUACAAAACUCCUGGCGAAAUAGGCUCGAGAAAGCAACCUGAAGAAGACGAAGUUUGCGGCAUACCAGUACAAUGAAGUCGGACAUUAACAGUAUUACUGUAUGCAAGGU